AAUGUCAUAAAUUGAGAAACCGUCAUUUGAAUGUCCACCAUUUGAAUGUCCACCCUCACAGUCUGUAUUCUUCAAAGGCAUUUUAUGUUUUCCAUUUUAUGUGAAACCCUCAUUAUUCUUUGAUUUCCUCCCAAUCUCUCAUCUCUUUCCUAUUUUUCCUAUUACAAAUCUGCAACCAAGAGUCUCUCAAGUUUCAACAAACCCGCCACACACCUUUGUUCGAAGUGCUUGUGGUCCAGCGAGAAAGAGAGGCGCAAUAUCGGCUAGGGUUUCAAGCACGGUUGACUUUCCGGCGGCUUAAUACGACCCCUCUCCGACAAUCGUCACUGAAAAUUUUUGUUUCUUCUCUUGACUUUGGUUCUGUUCAAAUCAGUAUAAAUUAAUUUUGGGAUUUAAUUUAAUUUGGUCUUUGACCAGGUGCUUGCAUUUGUAAAUUGAAGGUAACUUCUUCUUUGAUCCAGUUGUUACCAUUGGGUUCGUCAAAGAUGCUAAAGCUCAUAUUGACGUUCAAGGGUUUAUCAUAAAAAUCGACUCAUUAAGGUUACAAAAAACUAUCUAACAAUGCUUCUUAUUUUACAGCCAUUUUGGAGACUCUGGAAUAGUACAGAAGUGACGGUCGUGGAGUAAUAGGUGUGUUGGAGGCUAAUUUUGUAGAACCAGCUCAUGAUAAACAAGGAUUCAAGCACACCAUUGUUCUUUUAAGACUUGAAGCACGUCUUAUUCAGAUGCAGUAGACAUAUUGAUUAAGACUGAUAAAGUUAGCGAUCUUUCGCUACGAGGCUUCUGAGCGAAACGUAAGGGAGUUCUUUUCCUUUUCGGGAGAUAUUGUUUAUGUUGACACGCCAAGCUACCAGUGGUCAUAGUGGAGCUGAAGAGGUGGCUUUAGGACAUUGAGGUUGUUAUUGUGAUCAGAUUGUCAUAUAUUGAUUCUGUUUGAAACUUCAUCCCAAUAUGUUCCUGUUUGCAGUUUUUGUUAUAAUUUUUAGUAUAGGUUAUCAUAAUUCUAGAUGGAAAUAGAAAGGAUGCACUUUUAUAUCA